AGUGGGCGACUUUCCGUCACAUUCAGCAGUUCAUGUUGAAGUCGUGACCAGAAAACAGUAAAACUCAUCUGAACACACAUCGAGAGCUUCAGAAGAACUGAAUCCACUAACAACAGAGAAGAUCACUGAAGAAGAGAGAAGAAUGAAGAUCAUCUGGACUUUCACUCUGCUGAUGAUUCCUGGUGUGUUGAGCUCCAUCAGUGUGACAGGAUAUUCAGGAGGAGGAGUCAGCAUCACAUGCAGAUAUGAUCGAGGAUAUACAGACAAGAACAAGUAUUUUUGUAAAGGACAGUGGUCAGUGUGCACAGACCGAAUCAGGAUUAAUACUAAAAAUACAUUUACUACUGUGGGACUGAUAUUUAUGGAAAAGUAGAUUCCUACACUGAAGUGAAGCUGAAUGUUGUAACAGGGAGGAAGCAGAAUAUGCAAGAGAGUGUGAAAGAAGAGCAGAAGAGAGAGAGGAGAAGAUGUU